CCUACGGGUGGCAGCAGUGAGGAAUAUUGGUCAAUGGGCGCUAGCCUGAACCAGCCAAGUCGCGUGAAGGAUGACUGCCCUCUGGGUUGUAAACUUCUUUUAUAUGGGAGUAAAGUGCAGUGUGUAUACUGCUUUGCAUGUACCUUAUGCAUAAGGAUCGGCUCACUCCGUGCCAGCAGCCGCGGUAAUACGGAGGAUCCGAGCGUUAUCCGGAUUUAUUGGGUUUAAAGGGAGCGUAGGCGGGUUGUUAAGUCAGUUGUGAAAGUUUGCGGCUCAACCGUAGAAUUGCAGUUGAUACUGGCAGGCUUGAGUACAGUAGAGGUAGGCGGAAUUCGUGGUGUAGCGGUGAAAUGCUUAGAUAUCACGAAGAAUUCCGAUGGCGAAGGCAGCCUGCUGGACUAUAACUGACGCUGAUGCGCGAAAGUGUGGGGAGCAAACAGGAUUAGAUACCCUGGUAGUC
rnacentral:rRNA from 1 species